GAUUCCGAUUUAAUCCAAUCAUCUAGUGACAUAGCUUAUGAUAAUACAGUACCUGUAAUUAAAAAACAUAACUGGCAAGAUGUCGAUGAUAGUGGUGAUGAUGACGAUGAUGAAGACAAGAAUUAUAGUCGACAUGUGCGGAGAAGUCAGGAUUUGGUAGUAAGUAAUAUGAAAAAUGUCUACGUGUCUGCUAUCAAAAAUUAUACUAAAAAAGGAAACGAAGAACUACAUCUCAAAAUAGGAAUGAAAAUAAAACAAAAGAAACCAGCCAAUGAUAAAGGUAUGGCGUAUGGUUGGUACAAAAAGAAACGAAUGGGAGUAAAGAAAUAUGGCUUCUAUCCUGUUGAUCAUGUUGUUUUUAUUCAAAAAUCUUCCUGGGAUUCAGCGAAACUUUAAUCGAGAAGGUUUUUUUCUUUUUAUAUAGAACUCAUAAUUUAAAAACGAACUUAGAAUACGAACAUAUCGAAAAACGAACCCAAGAAUACGAAAAUGUCGAAAAACGAACUGAAGAAUACGAAAAUAUCGAAAGUUACGUAAUUCCAGAAAAGGAGGACAUUAUU